rnacentral:rRNA from 1 species
CCCUUAGAUGUUCUGGGCCGCACGCGCGCUACACUGAUGCAUUCAACGAGUGUACCUUGGCCGAGAGGCCUGGGCAAUCUUUUGAACGUGCAUCGUGAUAGGGAUAGAUUAUUGCAAUUAUUAAUCUUGAACGAGGAAUUCCUAGUAAACGCAGAUCAUCAAUCUGCAUUGAUUACGUCCCUGCCCUUUGUACACACCGCCCGUCGCGCCUACCGAUUGGAUGGUCCGGUGAAGCCUCGGGAUUGUGGCGGUUGCCUUUAUUGGUGUCCGCCGCGAGAACUUGUCUAAACCUUAUCAUCUAGAGGAAGGUGAAGUCGUAACA